AUGUCACUGCAAAGCCAUUCUCUGUCACUGGUCACAGUGGAAGUUCCUAAUGACAGAAAAAAAGGCAAAUGUCACAGCUAUAUCCUCAGGAAGGGCAAGAAGGAAGACUGGGAAACUAGAGGCUGAUCAACAACACCAUUGGUCCAUGAGAAGGUGAUAGAACAAAUCCUCUUACAAGCCAUUUCCAAGCACAGGAAGGAUGAGAAGUUGAUUGGCAACAUGAAUUUACUGAGGACAAAAUCUACCCUUACACCUUGAAUGCAUUCUAUGAUGUUAUGACUGUCUGUGUGGAUGAAGAGUGAGAAGUGGACAUUGUGUUCCUAGACUUAACAUCACUUCAAGGUUUUACACCUGAAACGGGUUCAUUUUCACUUGUCUGAUGCACAUUUCCAGCCAGCAGCCGGGAGACCGAAGAGGAUUCAAUCCGCAAUUGUUCUGAAAGCACACAAACUGAAUAAAUGUUUAUAACCCUAAAUGGUGUCACCGCAGCAGAUGAAUGGCAGCAGAACAAUGGGCACCGAUGCACUCUUCAGGCCGCAGCCAAGUUCCCUAGCAACUACAGAGGAGCUGUGCAGCCUGCAGAGGUACUGUGAGUGCCAGCAGGCCGUUAUCUGAGAAAUGACUGAGAAAUGAUCUUAGUGCCGUAUUUCAUUGAGGAGAUACCAUUAAUCAAUUGCCUGUUUGUAAUUCACGGAUACCACUUUUUCCCUUUGGGUAAACUAUUAGGUAAGAAUUCCUCUGGCUAGCGAUUUCAUUGUUAUUUAGUUUCAUGUAUGUGUUAGCAUUAAUUACAUAGGUUUAAAGUUGUUUGAGUUCCAAGGAAAUAGCACCAGGUAGCUGCUAUGCUGUAAGAAAAGCACACCGAGCUGAAGUUUGACACUAAGCUAAACUGAUGUAAUGGCUGCUAAAAGCUUGAGUGCCAAUUGCUUCCUUGGUUUAGAACUGUGUUUUGAAACACGUAGAUAGGUACAAGGCAAAAGGGAAAAAGAAAAGCAAUGGCUUUAUCGAAGAGAUAUUGUUAUUUAUUAAAUCAGUUAAUCAUACGUUGCCAGCCUAAUUAAUAAUUGCUGGUGCAAGGAAUGCCACAGAUUAGGCUACACUGAUACCAUGUGCUCCAAACAGAUGAUAGAAAGUUGUACUCUGACCUUCCCAUGUGUCUGACCGCAACAGAGAACAGGUCACCCCAUCUUCUAUAACACUGCGCUCUCUGCUGCUCUGUUACUCAUUGUGUCAGGGGAGGGGCAGCUGGGGGUUAGGGACAGGGUCUGCACCAGAGGGGGGUGGGCAUGGAACGGGCUGCCCAGGGCUGUGGGCACUGCCCCCAUUGCUGGAGUUCAGAGAGCAUCUGGACAGUGCUCUCAGAUGUAGGGUCUGAUUUUGGGUGGUGCUGUGUGGAGAAUGGAGUUGGACUCGAUGAUCCUUGUGGGUCCUGUCCAGCUUGGGAUAUUCUGUGCUUCUAUAAUUCCACGAUUCUAUGAACCUAGGUGAGUUUCUUUACCAUUUUGUACAAUGAAGUCUUUCCUGCCCAACACUUCAUGUUUUUUGUAGGGGAUUGUGAAUUGUUCUUUACACACAUCUGGAAGUAGAUCGCCAACAUGUAGCUUUACUUCUACCCUGACAAACACUGCUUUCAGUCCGAUUUGACUGUCCGAUUUGACUUUUCCGUUGACCCCCUGCCUCCCUUCUCCAGGUGAGCUCACAACCUAUUUGUUAGAUUUAUCAUAUGCUACAGACUGGCAUCUACCUCUGUACUGAGGCAAGAAUUGUUAUCUUUGUAAUUUUUACCUUUGUCACAAAUAAAGGAAUUACCAUUUUACGGUAGGCCUAAGGAUUUGUGGCCACUGAUCUGGGAGAAGUAAUGGAGAGGGGCUAGAGACUCAGAUAGAAGAGUGAUGGAUGCACAAAGUAACACUAAAUACCAAAUCAAUCCCAUUUGAAAGUUCAGGAUUAAAAAGAAGUGUGAGAUUCUUGGCCUACAGCAUCAUGUUGCCUUUGGUAGAGAAGUUUUGCUUCAGAAACUAUUUUCCUGUCCUUGGUUGCCCUCUUCCUGGCCACAGAGCUUACUGCUUCCUCUGUAGAAAUGGCCCUGCUGUAAGCCAGACCUCUGAAAUGAUUUGGCAUAAAUCCCUCACUUUUUUUUUUUUUUUUUUGGUCAGUUUUUUCUUUCUUUCUUUCUUUCUUUUUAUUUCCAGUCUAGAUCAUUUUAUAAUGCAAACAUGAUACGUAAGUACUGGGAGGAUAAGCAGUGAAUGUGGCACUGGGAACCAACAUGUUUCCUAACACUGCCCUCAUCUGACUAAAAUCUGAUUAGUCUUAAACUGUGGAGUGCUCUUUGCCUCAGAAUUAAACAACCUGUGUCCCACGUAUUCCUAUUCCACAGGUAUUGCAAAGUGAGUAGGAGAAGAUGAGGAAUUGAACGUUAAGAGACGUGAAACAUCAGAGAUGGUAGAGUUAGGUAGAGGGACUAGUCUUUUUUUUUUCUGAAGGUGAGGAGAAUGUUCAAGGGGAAUAAAGUUAUGUGUAAGGCGGCUGUGUGGAGGAGGAUCGGGUGAAUUAAAAGGGAGACAUGUUUCAGGGUAUAGGAACUGUACAUGUAAAAGGAUGACUGUGAAGCAGGGUAGAGAAAAAAGAAGGCUACAAGAAACUUUAAUGACUUCAUGUUGAGCAAGUCUAGAACAGAGGAAUUAAGUCAUUACGCAUAGCAAGGCUUCUCAAACAAGAGGGCUGUUUGGCCUAUCAGUACUGGAAGAUUACAGAUCUUACAGACUUUAUCAAGCAAAAGUGACCCCAUACUUUAUCUAGACAAAAAAAUCAACGAAAGUCAGUAAGGUUUUAUUGACCAGUGUAGUUAUUUGCGGUCUGUUACUUUGGGAUGUCACCUUCAUUGUCUAUCAUUUUGGACAGUGUUUCAGCACAGCUGGAAGAAUUCAACUCUUCAACUUCAGAAGGUUUGCUUGGAAGCAGGGAAGCAGUGGGCAAUGCCACAUCACACCAGUCACUUGCCACAGAAACCUCCUAACUGCUGUCUUCUGUAUCUGCACAAGCUGUCAUGCUUAUUGUUGCACCAGGAGAGAUCUUGCACAGCAGCAGUGGAGCUGGGGGAAGGCUGUAUCUCCCCAGGCUAAUCUGGUUAACCAUGAAAGCUGUCAGGACUUGUUCACCCGCAGCAAAAGACUCAUCCUGGUCACUAUAAAAGAACAAAACUGCCAUGCAGCAAGAGCUCCCCACUCAAGCUUGUGGCUCACCCUAAAAUGCAGCUGAAAGCACUCUCUCGUGCAGAGCCCAACCCCUAAAUCUCCAUCACAUGGGAAAGUUCCCCACAGCUGUGACUGUUACAGGCUUCCCUGUUGCUUCACGUGUCCUUUCCAACACUUGCUGAACCAUCAUAAGCUGUUGUUUCAGAUCACACGCACACAUGGCUUUACAAAAGGCAAAGCAUCUCUUUAAACAAUAAGCUUUUCAUAGAACCAUAGAAACAUAGAAUGGCUUGCGUUAGAAGAGACUUCAAAGGUCAUCUGAUUCCAACCCACCAGCUCAGGCUGCCCAGGGCCCAUUCCAACCUGGCCUUGAGCACCUCCAGGGAUGGGGCACCACAGCUUCUCUGGGCAGCUGUGCCAGCGCUUCACUGCCCUCUGAGUAAAAAGUUUCCCCCUAAUAUCCCACCUAAAUCUCCCCUCUUUUAGUUUAAAGCCAUUCCUGCUUGUCCUAUCACUAUAAGACCAUGUAAAAAAUUGGUCUCCCUUCUGCUAAUAAACUUCUUCUAAGCACGGCAAGGCC
rnacentral:lncRNA from 1 species